GCGUGGUGGAGUUCAAAUUAAACUGGACUGCUGAGUAGUUGUGUUUUAGUGGGUUAAUAGGGAGUGUUUUUAGGAGAUAAUUGGGGAGAAGUUAUCAAAAUAAGAUUUCUCCUUAUCAGUUUUCUAUUUUCUUUUUUUUCUUUUCCCAACAAAUUUUCUGACAUUAGACUUUUGUUUCUCUGCCUUGUUUUCUCCCUUCUUGUUCACUUUUGGUUUUUGUUCCUCUUUGGUCGAAUCUUUUUUCUUCUCUUUCCCCUUUCUUUUCGUUUCUGUAUUUUUUUUGUGAGUCGUCUCUUUGGGUGAAACUUUCGACUUCAUCUGUUUCGGUAAGUGGAAUUUCCCCCCUUAGUUAUCGUAUUUCGAUUAGGAAGUUAACAAAUGGUUCGUUUUACUCUUGUUUAGGCACUGUUCAAAGGUUUUAAACGGAUAUUCUAGUGUGUGGAGACGACUGAU
rnacentral:lncRNA from 1 species